GAAAGAAAAAGGCAAACCCGUCGAAAGGCGGGGACGCAAAGUAACCGGUCUAAAGGGUGUAACAGCCCCAAGACAGCGGGACCGCCAAC
rnacentral:ncRNA from 1 species